AACCAGGCCACGCCAGACGCAUCAUCUCUGGGUCCCGGGUAUUCAUCCCCUUCCCUUCCCGCCCCGCCCCGCCCCGCCCCUGAAGACAGCAUGCAGCUGCAGAUUCCAGGGAGAGUGCUGCUUAGGGGGGGCUACUGAAGCCAUAGCCCUGUGUGAGGAACUCAGGAUGAGAAGGUGAAGAUCAGAGACUCUCAGAGCCCAUCGACAGCUUGUCCCCACGGAACCCACCCGACUUUUCCCUGCCUAGCCCACUCCACCACCGAUCCGGUCUGGCCCUGGCUGUGGGCAGCGAACUGGAAUCUCGAGCUGAGGGAACUCUGCCAUCCCGGGCAUGGAUUUCGUGUUCUUUCAGGUGCUCAACUGAAGUGGGACCACCAUCUCCAGAACUUCCAGAGGCAGGAAAGUGGGCCAAGAAGAGCCCUGCAGACAAAUGAGAGGUCCACGCGGAGCAUCACACAAGCCAGAUCAGGCCGGAACCUCAGCCUCCUUGUUUGUGCGGUGUGGGUAUGAGUGGAAUGCUGCACGUGGCUGUGCCUGUACCACACGCAUGAGUGCGCGGGCACCACAUGCCUG
rnacentral:lncRNA from 1 species